rnacentral:rRNA from 1 species
CACGCUGUAAACGAUGAGUACUAGGUGUCGGGGGUUACCCCCUUCGGUGCCGCAGCUAACGCAUUAAGUACUCCGCCUGGGAAGUACGCCCGCAAGAGUGAAACUCAAAGGAAUUGACGGGGACCCGAACAAGUAGCGGAGCAUGUGGUUUAAUUCGAAGCAACGCGAAGAACCUUACCUAAGCUUGACAUCCCAAUGACAUCUCCUUAAUCGGAGA